rnacentral:rRNA from 1 species
CCUACGGGAGGCUGCAGUGGGGAAUAUUGGACAAUGGGGGGAACCCUGAUCCAGCCAUGCCGCGUGUGUGAAGAAGGCCCUCGGGUUGUAAAGCACUUUCAGUGAGGAAGAACGCCUGGUGGUUAAUACCCAUCAGGAAAGACAUCACUCACAGAAGAAGCACCAGCUAACUCCGUGCCAGCAGCCGCGGUAAUACGGAGGGUGCGAGCGUUAAUCGGAAUUACUGGGCGUAAAGCGCGCGUAGGUGGCUUGAUAAGCCGGUUGUGAAAGCCCCGGGCUCAACCUGGGAACGGCAUCCGGAACUGUCAAGCUAGAGUGCAGGAGAGGAAGGUAGAAUUCCCGGUGUAGCGGUGAAAUGCGUAGAGAUCGGGAGGAAUACCAGUGGCGAAGGCGGCCUUCUGGACUGACACUGACACUGAGGUGCGAAAGCGUGGGUAGCAAACAGGAUUAGAUACCCGGGUAGUC